UUGCCAGAUCACACCCUCACGGUCAGGGUCCUAGGUCAGAAGCUAGGAAGGAAAGGAGCAGAAAAAGAGAGAAUGAACCAAUGUCAUGGAGAAAAGCUGAGGAAGUCUCAGGACUGUCCGUAGUCAUUGCCUGGAGAAAUGGAAAUUUGCUACAAGACCCACCACUCGUUCCCUUUGCAAUAGCUCGCUGGCCCUGUGGUCUUCUGAUGAGCCAACGUGCUAUUGACGUCUUCAGUCAGUAAGAAGUACUUGUUUUGGGGCCCUCUCUGGUGGCGCACGGGCUUAAGCAUCAGCACUAUGAAGCUAUCCAUAACUACUGCAGCAUGAGCUUGAUCCCUGGCCAGGGAGCUAGCCCACAUGGCGCAGACCUCUCCU